GAUUAACGCUGGCGGCGUGCUUAACACAUGCAAGUCGAACGAUGAAACGUAGUCGACUUCUUCGGAAAGACACUAAGCGGAUUAGUGGCGAACGGGUGAGUAACGCGUGAGUAACCUGCCUUACACAAGGGGAUAGCCUUUGGAAACGAACAAUAAUACCCUAUAAAACAAUAAAAGCAAAUGCUAGACUGGUCAAGGUGAUAGCGGCGUAAGGUGGACUUGCUUCUGAGUAGCUAGGUGGUGAGAUAAAAGCUCACCAAGGCAAAGAUCAGUAACCGGCAUGGGAGAGCGGACCGGACCACUGGGACAGGGACACGUCCCAGACUCCUGCGGAUGGGAGCAGGGGGGAAUUAUGAACAACGCGGGAAAGACUAAUGCCGCGGCGCCGCGUGAUGUAGAAGGCCUGCAGGUUGUGAAACUCGUUUGUAUAGGAGGAAAAUGACAGUACUAUACGAAUAAGGACCGGCUAAUUACGUG
rnacentral:rRNA from 1 species